AUUGAACGCUGGCGGCAGGCAUAAAACAUGCAAGUCGAACGGGUGGCGGACGGGUGAGUAAUGUCUGGGAAACUGCCUGAUGGCGGGGGAUAAAUACUGGAAACGGUAGCUAAUACCGCAUACCAACGGAGGAGCCCAGAUGGGAUUAGCUAGUCGGUGGGGUAAAGGCUCACCUAGGCGACGAUCCCUAGCUGGUCUGAGAGGAUGACCAGCCACACUGGAACUGAGACACGGUCCAGACUCCUCCGGGAGGCAGCAGUGGGGAAUAUUGCACAAUGGGCGCAAGCCUGAUGCAGCCAUGCCGCGUGUAUGAAGAAGGCCUUCGGGUUGUAAAGUACUUUCAGCGGGGAGGCGUUACCCGCAGAAGAAGCACCGGCUAACUCCGUGCCAGCAGCCGCGGUAAUAC
rnacentral:rRNA from 1 species